AAUUAUACAAUAAAAUUGAUAUAUAUACAACUGUUUUGUUAUAACCAGUGAUUAUAACGGGUCUCACGUAGGUUUCCUUAUGUGCAAUAUAAAAAUUCCUUUAGAAGAGUUUUUAAAAGAAUCUAAAGCAUAUGGAGGGGAAAAAUUAUGAGAGGUUGGUAUAAAUAUUGAUGUUGUUUUGGUAUAGAGGCUUGAAAUAAAGAAAAAAAGCAAAAAAAUUUGAUUUUGUUAUAAAAAAAUGUUUUGUUAGUUGUUAUGAAAAUAAUUCUACAAAUCAAAGAAAAAAAAAA
rnacentral:misc_RNA from 1 species